rnacentral:rRNA from 1 species
AUUGAACGCUGGCGGCAUGCCUUACACAUGCAAGUCGAACGGUAACGCGGGGCAACCUGGCGACGAGUGGCGAACGGGUGAGUAAUGCAUCGGAACGUGCCUGGUAGUGGGGGAUAACUGCUCGAAAGAGCAGCUAAUACCGCAUACAACCUGAGGGUGAAAGGGGGGCAGGUCGCAAGACCUCUCGCUAUCAGAGCGGCCGAUGUCGGAUUAGCUAGUUGGUGGGGUAAGAGCCCACCAAGGCGACGAUCCGUAGCUGGUCUGAGAGGACGACCAGCCACACUGGGACUGAGACACGGCCCCAGACUCCUACGGGAGGCAGCAGUGGGGAAUUUUGGACAAUGGACGCAAGUCUGAUCCAGCCAUGCCGCGUGCGGGAAGAAGGCCUCGGGUUGUAAACCGCUUUUGUCAGGGAAGAAAUCUUCUGGGCUAAUACCCUGGGAGGAUGACGGCACCUGAAGAAUAAGCACCGGCUAACUACGUGCCAGCAGCCGCGGUAAUACGUAGGGUGCAAGCGUUAAUCGGAAUUACUGGGCGUAAGCGUGCGCAGGCGGUUAUGCAAGACAGGUGUGAAAUCCCCGAGCUCAACUUGGGGAACUGCACUUGUGACUGCAUAGCUAGAGUACGGUAGAGGGGAGUGGAAUUUCCGCGUGUAGCAGUGAAAUGCGUAGAUAUGCGGAGGAACACCGAUGGCGAAGGCAGCUCCCUGGACCUGUACUGACGCUCAUGCACGAAAGCGUGGGGGAGCAAAC